rnacentral:rRNA from 1 species
UACGAAGGGGGCUAGCGUUGUUCGGAAUUACUGGGCGUAAAGCGCGCGCAGGCGGCUAUCCAAGUCAGUGGUGAAAGCCCGGAGCUCAACUCCGGAACUGCCAUUGAAACUGUUUAGCUUGAGUAUGAGAGAGGUGAGUGGAAUUCCCAGUGUAGAGGUGAAAUUCGUAGAUAUUGGGAAGAACACCGGUGGCGAAGGCGGCUCACUGGCUCAUUACUGACGCUCAGGCGCGAAAGCGUGGGGAUCAAACAGG